rnacentral:misc_RNA from 1 species
CGAAGGGGAGCGAGGGAAAGUGGGAGGGAUUUGGGGUUGGGGCUUGAGAAUCACUUGGAAAGAGGUUGAAGAUAAUGGUGAUAUUAGGCCACUAGGUGGAUUGACAAGGAAUUUGUGAGGAGAAGAAGUUUGAACUUUGAAUGCUAUUGGAUAGGCUGCACUAAGUGAUCUAAGGUUCACUGUGGCUCGGCAUUUACAGCCUAG